GGGAGUAUAGCUCAAUUGGCAGAGCAGGCGGCUUUUAACCGCCUUGUUGCAGGUUCAAUUCCUGUUACUCCCU
rnacentral:tRNA from 1 species